AGGAUGAACGCUAGCUACAGGCUUAACACAUGCAAGUCCAUGGGCAGCAUUUUAGUUUGCUUGCAAACUGAAGAUGGCGACCGGCGCACGGGUGAGUAACACGUAUCCAACCUGCCGAUAACUCCGGGAUAGCCUUUCGAAAGAAAGAUUAAUACCGGAUAGCAUACGAAUAUCGCAUGAUAUUUUUAUUAAAGAAUUUCGGUUAUCGAUGGGGAUGCGUUCCAUUAGUUUGUUGGCGGGGUAACGGCCCACCAAGACUACGAUGGAUAGGGGUUCUGAGAGGAAGGUCCCCCACAUUGGAACUGAGACACGGUCCAAACUCCUACGGGAGGCAGCAGUGAGGAAUAUUGGUCAAUGGGCGCGAGCCUGAACCAGCCAAGUAGCGUGAAGGAUGAAGGCUCUAUGGGUCGUAAACUUCUUUUAUAUGGGAAUAAAGUUUUCCACGUGUGGAAUUUUGUAUGUACCAUAUGAAUAAGGAUCGGCUAACUCCGUGCCAGCAGCCGCGGUAAUACGGAGGAUCCGAGCGUUAUCCGGAUUUAUUGGGUUUAAAGGGAGCGUAGGUGGAUUGUUAAGUCAGUUGUGAAAGUUUGCGGCUCAACCGUAAAAUUGCAGUUGAAACUGGCAGUCUUGAGUACAGUAGAGGUGGGCGGAAUUCGUGGUGUAGCGGUGAAAUGCUUAGAUAUCACGAAGAACUCCGAUUGCGAAGGCAGCUCACUAGACUGUCACUGACACUGAUGCUCGAAAGUGUGGGUAUCAAACAGGAUUAGAUACCCUGGUAGUCCACACAGUAAACGAUGAAUACUCGCUGUUUGCGAUAUACAGUAAGCGGCCAAGCGAAAGCAUUAAGUAUUCCACCUGGGGAGUACGCCGGCAACGGUGAAACUCAAAGGAAUUGACGGGGGCCCGCACAAGCGGAGGAACAUGUGGUUUAAUUCGAUGAUACGCGAGGAACCUUACCCGGGCUUAAAUUGCAACAGAAUAUAUUGGAAACAGUAUAGCCGUAAGGCUGUUGUGAAGGUGCUGCAUGGUUGUCGUCAGCUCGUGCCGUGAGGUGUCGGCUUAAGUGCCAUAACGAGCGCAACCCUUAUCUUUAGUUACUAACAGGUCAUGCUGAGGACUCUAGAGAGACUGCCGUCGUAAGAUGUGAGGAAGGUGGGGAUGACGUCAAAUCAGCACGGCCCUUACGUCCGGGGCUACACACGUGUUACAAUGGGGGGUACAGAAGGCGGCUACCUGGUGACAGGAUGCUAAUCCCAAAAACCUCUCUCAGUUCGGAUCGAAGUCUGCAACCCGACUUCGUGAAGCUGGAUUCGCUAGUAAUCGCGCAUCAGCCAUGGCGCGGUGAAUACGUUCCCGGGCCUUGUACACACCGCCCGUCAAGCCAUGAAAGCCGGGGGUACAAGAAGUACGUAACCGCAAGGAG
rnacentral:rRNA from 1 species